rnacentral:rRNA from 1 species
GAUGAACGCUAGCUACAGGCUUAACACAUGCAAGUCGAGGGGAAACGACAUCGAAGGCUUGCUUUUGAUGGGCGUCGACCGGCGCACGGGUGAGUAACGCGUAUCCAACCUGCCCAUCACUUGGGAAUAACCUUGCGAAAGUAAGACUAAUACCCAAUGACAUCCCACGAAGACAUCUGAAUGGGAUUAAAGAUUUAUCGGUGAUGGAUGGGGAUGCGUCUGAUUAGCUUGUUGGCGGGGUAACGGCCCACCAAGGCAACGAUCAGUAGGGGUUCUGAGAGGAAGGUCCCCCACAUUGGAACUGAGACACGGUCCAAACUCCUACGGGAGGCAGCAGUGAGGAAUAUUGGUCAAUGGGCGAGAGCCUGAACCAGCCAAGUAGCGUGCAGGAUGACGGCCCUAUGGGUUGUAAACUGCUUUUAUAAGGGAAUAAAGUGGGUCUCGUGAGACUUUUUGCAUGUACCUUAUGAAUAAGGACCGGCUAAUUCCGUG